GGUUUCCGUAGGUGAACCUGCGGAAGGAUCAUUAUUGAAAUAAACCUGAUAAGUUGCUGCUGGUUCUCUAGGGAGCAUGUGCACACUUGUCAUCUUUGUAUCUUCACCUGUGCACCUUUUGUAGACCUGAGURUCUCUCUGAAUGUUUUAGCAUUCAGGAUUGAGGAUUGACUUUCUGUCUCUUCUUUACAUUUUCAGGUCUAUGUUUCUUCAUAUACCCUAAUGUAUGUUUAUAGAAUGUAAUUAAUGGGCCUUUGUGCCUAUAAAUCUAUACAACUUUCAGCAACGGAUCUCUUGGCUCUCGCAUCGAUGAAGAACGCAGCGAAAUGCGAUAAGUAAUGUGAAUUGCAGAAUUCAGUGAAUCAUCGAAUCUUUGAACGCACCUUGCGCUCCUUGGUAUUCCGAGGAGCAUGCCUGUUUGAGUGUCAUUAAUAUAUCAACCUUCUUUGGUUGGAUGUGGGUUUGCUGGCCUCUUGAGGUCAGCUCCCCUUAAAUGCAUUAGCGGACAACAUUUUGCCAACCGUUCAUUGGUGUGAUAAUUAUCUACGCCAUUGACGUGAAGCAAGGUUCAGCUUCUAACAGUCCAUUGACUUGGAUAAAUUCAUUUUAUUAAUGUGACCUCAAAUCAGGUAGGACUACCCGCUGAACUUAAGCAUAUCAAUAAGCGGAGGAAAAGAAACUAACAAGGAUUCCCCUAGUAACUGCGAGUGAAGCGGGAAAAGCUCAAAUUUAAAAUCUGGCAGUCUUUGGCUGUCCGAGUUGUAAUCUAGAGAAGCAUUAUCCGCGCUGGACCGUGUACAAGUCUUCUGGAAUGGAGCGUCAUAGAGGGUGAGAAUCCCGUCUUUGACACGGACUGCCAGGGCUUUGUGAUGUGCUCUCAAAGAGUCGAGUUGUUUGGGAAUGCAGCUCAAAAUGGGUGGUAAAUUCCAUCUAAAGCUAAAUAUUGGCGAGAGACCGAUAGCGAACAAGUACCGUGAGGGAAAGAUGAAAAGAACUUUGGAAAGAGAGUUAAACAGUACGUGAAAUUGCUGAAAGGGAAACGCUUGAAGUCAGUCGCGUUGUCCAGGGAUCAACUCUUGCUUUUGCUUGGUGUAUUUUCUGGUUAACGGGUCAGCAUCAAUUUUGACUAUUGGAAAAAGAUUAAGGGAAUGUGGCAUCUUUGGAUGUGUUAUAGCCCUUGGUUGCAUACAUUAGUUGGGAUUGAGGAACUCAGCAYGCCGCAAGGCCGAGUUUUUAUUAACUACGUACGUGCUUAGGAUG
rnacentral:rRNA from 1 species